GACGAACGCUGGCGGCGUGCUUAACACAUGCAAGUCGAACGGAAAGGCCCUGCUUUUGUGGGGUGCUCGAGUGGCGAACGGGUGAGUAACACGUGAGUAACCUGCCCUUGACUUUGGGAUAACUUCAGGAAACUGGGGCUAAUACCGGAUAGGAGCUCCUGCUGCAUGGUGGGGGUUGGAAAGUUUCGGCGGUUGGGGAUGGACUCGCGGCUUAUCAGCUUGUUGGUGGGGUAGUGGCUUACCAAGGCUUUGACGGGUGGCCGGCCUGAGAGGGUGACCGGCCACAUUGGGACUGAGAUACGGCCCAGACUCCUACGGGAGGCAGCAGUGGGGAAUAUUGCACAAUGGGCGGAAGCCUGAUGCAGCAACGCCGCGUGCGGGAUGACGGCCUUCGGGUUGUAAACCGCUUUCGCUUGUGACGAAGCGUGAGUGACGGUAAUGGGUAAAGAAGCACCGGCUAACUACGUG
rnacentral:rRNA from 1 species